UCAAUAAGCGGAGGAAAAGAAACUAACAAGGAUUCCCCUAGUAACGGCGAGUGAAGCGGGAUGAGCUCAAGCUUAAAAUCUCCGUGCAAUUUUUGCACGGCGAAUUGUAGUCUAUAGAGGCGUGGUCAGUAUAAGCACUUGGGGUAAGUUCCUUGGAAAAGGACAGCAUGGAGGGUGAUACUCCCGUUCAUCUCUAAGUUGCUUGUGCGUACGACCCGUUUUCUUUGAGUCGCGUUGUUUGAGAAUGCAGCGCAAAGUAGGUGGUAAAUUCCAUCUAAAGCUAAAUAUUGGUGCGAGACCGAUAGCAAACAAGUACCGUGAGGGAAAGAUGAAAAGAACUUUGAAAAUAGAGUUAAAGAGUACCUGAAACUGCUGAAAGGGAACCAAAUCGUUUCCAGUGUCUAUAAUCCGUGGUAUAUUUCAUUGGCGAGUGUGUGCGUGCGUGUGCUGUUGCAGUAGCUUUUUGGCUGCGCUCAGUGUGUGUGCUGUGUGUACUUGCUGGUGCCCUGUGCUACGGUGGGACGUCAAGGUCAGUUCGUAUGCUGCGGGAAAUGGCUACUGAGGAGGUAGGGCUUACGCUUGCGUUUGUCUGUUAUAUCUUGGUGGACGAGUCGUCGCGGUUGGGACUGAGGUGCCUACAACGUGCUUUUGAGUGGGCUUGGGUCUCCGUGUGCGCCGUGUGCGGAUAGCUUGCUAUGCGUGUGUGGUUGUAUGUGGAUUGAUGCGAGCCGUAACUUGUAGUCGUUCGGGACGUUGACGAAA
rnacentral:rRNA from 1 species